UUCUCCCCCGUUUCCCUGCAUGCCACGGCCCGCUCCCUUGCUCCCGAUUUAGACCCUGCAGCUCCCGGGGACGCUAGCACAGAUCAGGAGGGGACAGAGCAGCCCCAGUGAAAGCCUCCUCUCAGCCGGAUCUCCCAUCACCUCCCCUCUCCCCGAGCCCCGGCCAUGGAGCCACUCUCAGAGGUCCCCUUCAUGGAUGGGCUCAUAAUGAAGGAGACAGACCCAGACGCCAGUGUUUACACGAAGUUCAUGAUGAACCACUGUUGCUAUGAUGCCAUUCCAACCAGCUCCAAGCUGGUCAUCUUUGACACAACGCUGCAGGUGAAAAAGGCCUUUUUUGCUUUGGUGGCAAAUGGUGUGAGAGCAGCCCCACUCUGGGAUAACAAGCUGCAGUGCUUUGUGGGUAUGCUGACCAUCACAGACUUUAUCAACAUACUGCAUCGCUACUGGCAGUCUCCUCUGAUUGAGAUCUAUGAACUGGAGAGGCAUAAGAUCGAGGAAUGUAGAGAGGAGUUACUGAAGUAUUCCAACCAGGGUUUAAUCAGUAUAACGCCUGACUCUAGCCUCUUUGAUGCUAUCUAUUCUCUAUUGAAGUAUAAGAUUCACCGACUGCCCGUCAUCGACCCAGAGUCUGGCAAUGUUCUGCACAUCCUCACACACAAACGCAUCCUCAAGUUCCUCCACAUCUUUGGUACCAUGAUCCCGAAGCCCCGGUACCUCCAGAAGAGGAUAGAGGAGGUGGACAUCGGCACAUUUAAAAGAAUAGCCACUGUGCAGGAGACGGCCACUGUGUAUGAUGCUCUGGCCAUCUUCGUAGAACGGCGAGUCUCCGCCUUACCUGUGGUCAAUGAGGAGGGAAAAGUGAAGGCCCUGUACUCCAGGUUUGAUGUGAUCAAUCUGGCAGCUCAGAAGAACUACAACAAUCUGAACAUGACCAUGGUGGAGGCCAUCAGCUCCAGGGCCUGCUGUAUCGAAGGAGUGCUGAAAUGUUACCCCCAUGAAACUCUGGAGACUGUCAUUGAUCGUAUUGCCAAAGCAGAGGUUCACCGCCUGGUGCUGGUGGAUGAAGAGGACGUCGUGAGGGGGAUCGUCUCUCUCUCUGACCUCCUCCAGGCCUUGGUCUUGACGCCGGCAGGUAUUGACGCCCUUUUCUCUUAGUGACUGACAGGUGGCGGUGAGAGUCCAUCCACCACCAUGUACCGCCUCCCAGCCCUCCCCAGCCAGAGAGAUUUCACGAAGACCAGUGAUCACUGAGGAAACAGCGAUAGACUCAUAAUGGUGCAAGAAAUUAUGUAAAUAUUCGGGAUUUUGUUUGGCAUUCAUCAUCAAAAAUGCCUUGUAAAAUGGCAUCUAUGUAUCUGGGGGAUAAAACCAAUAGUUUCAUAUUUUUA